AUCAGGGUCCCCGCGGGUCCUUAAAAAGUCUUGAAAUGUCUUAAAUACAAUUUUCGAUUUUUAAGGUCUGAAAAUGUCUUGAAUCCUGGAAUUUUCCAUAUGAAUGUCUUAAAUUUCAUGUGGGAUCUUAAAUUUCAUGUCCGACUCGUCAUUUUUAUUUAUUUUUUCAACCGCAAUUUGACCAGCGUAACAUUUGGGGGCAGCACUUCGUGGGUGCAACCUGCAUCAUUCCAUAGGCGACAUACGAGUAAGUGAUUGAUGAACGCGUUGCGUUGAUGGUUCGCCACCACGGCAGUUUGCGAAAUCGCAAGCAUGGGCAAAGACGAUAAAGCUGUGGACAAGAACACGAUUGUCAGGUCUCGCUAUCUUGGUUCUCAGUUUUUGAGCCCCUCAACGGCAGAAGACUUGCUGUAGCACUUUAAGGAGGGCACCAAGGAACUUAAUUUAAGGAACAUGCUUUCUGUGUCAAUGGAUGUAUCCACAGUAAAUUGGAAAGUCAUGGAUCUCCUACAACUGGAACAUGCAAUAAAUUUCUGAUCCUGAUCUUUCCUACAA